AUUGCAACGGUCGCCAAUAAUUGUGUUCGCUGAGUUAGGUGACUGGUCGCUGUGCAGUGUUCGCUGACUUAGCAUCAAUACACAACCACAGCAACAUCUGAUUUGUGAGUCCAGUUUAAUUGACAAAUUGUUAUUACUGUGGCAACUUAAGCUGAGGCAGUAAAAAACUAAGGAUGUUAUCUGGAGGCCAUGGAGAAGUGAACCCCAAUUCGUCAUGGCAUAGCAGUCGUGGUGCAUGGCUCUCUUACCUAGCAGGUGUCUUGGCACUACACCUCUUUCUUCUGUCCAUACCAUUGAUUUCUAUACCAACAGCCUGGACACUCACUAAUGUUAUACACAACCUGGCAAAUUACCUAUUUCUUCAUCAGAUUAAAGGGACUCCAUGGCAGCUACUAGAUCAAGGAAAAUCUCGGCUGAUGACUGCAUGGGAACAAAUUGAUUAUGGACAGCAGUAUACAACGACUCGCAAAUUUAUUACAAUCAUUCCCAUUGUCUUAUUUCUUCUAGCCAGCUUUUACACCAAGUAUGAGUUUAAUCACUUUGCCAUCAACUUUGCAACUCUUCUCAUGGUACUUAUCCCAAAAUUGCCACAAUUCCACAUGGUUCGACUGUUUGGCAUCAACAAGUAUUAAGUGUGCCAAGACAAAGUACAGCAGUGCAGUUAAAACAUCAGAUAACCAAUAUGAUGAAAAAAGAUAGUGUCUGAUUACAGUAGUCCCUUCUGUAUCCGUGGAUGAUAAGUUCCAAGACCUACUAUGGAUGCCUGAAACCUCAUAUAGUAGCAAACCCUACAUAUAAGUUUUUUGUUUACAUACGUACCUCUGAUAAAGUUUAAUUGAUAUGUUAUGCAUAAUAAAACAUUACAUUGUUGAUGGUUGGGGAUUGUUGACAGUGGACAUGGUUUGUUUUUCAACCCUUUGGAAAAAUAUCGUGAUACAAAGUUUUCUUUUUCUUGAUCUUGUCAAACAUUUGCUGGAGAGGUUCUAAUGCUUCACUGAUUAUACAGGUAUCUUUAAUGCUGUGUUCCAUCAUGGGAUUGUAAUUCAUGAUUUUUCCUUUAAAGUCUGUGUAUUCCAAAACACUUCGCCAAAUUUUUCCAAAGUCCACAUUGCUGGUUCUGUUUCAGUUUCUUCUUCCUCUGUCGAUGACCUGACAAGCUCUUCUAAUUCCUCAUUUGUCAACAUUUCUCUAUGUUCUUCCAAUUCUUCAUCAAUCAUAUUGACAAAUCCCUCUCCACCAACUUGUCUUGCUAAGUGAAUGAUUUUCUUCACCUCUCCAUUGAUAGCCAGGAAGCCUUUAAAACCAUUCGUGACCUCACUUCAUAAGUUCUUCCAACAGGCAUUGACAGGGUGGGAAGGCUUCACCAUGUUACUCACAAUGGUGCGCAAUUUACAACUUAUGAAUUGUUUAUUUCUGGAAUUUUCCACUUAAUAUUUUCGUGCCACGGUAAACCACGGAAACCAAAUAUGUGGAUACAGGGGCUCUACUGUACUGUGUGAAGACAAGCAAUUUUAAUACUGUAAUAUACCAGUAUGGAGUAUUUCAUUGAUGUAACUAAUUUCCUGUGUAAUGUAUUUGAUAACAUAAAUGUAAGGAGCACAUGGGGCUGCUCUAAGGACUGAAUUGUGCAAUUUUCACUUACUGUGAAAUUCAUCAUACUUUAGGCUCUUCAUUAUAGCUCAUACAAUAAUGAUAGGUGGAGGGAAAGUAAUGGUGUUUGCUACACAAUUUGUAUAAAUUAAAAGUGCAUGGUAUAAUAUGAGCUUUGGAUAAAAAGUUAAAUAUACUACUAUCCCACAGUUAAAGAAUGGUCAUUAGAGGAGUACAUGUACUUAACCCCUUCAGGGUCCAAGGCCCAAAUCUGAAGUGGUACCCCAGUGUCCAAGAAUUUUCAAAAAGAAAUUUUUUAUUUUUUCUUAUGUAGAGAAUCUUUUUGUGAAGGUAAUAAAACAAAAAGUACGAAAUUUGAUGGAAAAUUGACGAAAUUAUGCUCUCGCGAAUUUUGAUGUGUCAGCGAUAUUUAUGAAUCGGCGAUUUUGCCGACUUUGACUCCCAUUUUAGGCCAAUUACAUUAUUCCAGUCAACCAAAUUCUUAGCUAUUUCACUAGUAUUACUUCUAUUCUAUCGAUUGAGCACAAGAAAUCGCCAAGUCAAAUGUUUCAACUACAAAUUAAAGUGAUCGGAAAUUGUUAAUUUGGCCAAUUUAACACAAAGUUCAAAAUAUUCCAAUUUCAAAAUAGGGUCCAGAAUAAACAAUGUAGGUAUUCCUGGAACUAAACUAACAUUUCCUCUGUUCAUUAGUUAUAUUUUGAGGCUUUACAAAUAAUUUUGAUUUUUUAUUCACAUAAUGAAUUUUUAUUCACACCAAAAAAUAGAAGAUUUACUGUUAUGCAAGACUGUAAUAAUUGUGUAAAUAUCAUCACCAUAUUUGUGAAUGCAUAUUAGACCCACCAGCUGGCGUGUAUUAGACGUGUGAGGUUGUUUGUUUACUCUUGAAUGUCGGCAAAAAUUUAACAUUUCUGCUACUUUAAGCUCAUUUUCAAGCCAUUUCCAGUGCUAAAACCAAUCAAAAUCAUCUCUAUUUCUGUAAUAUGUCUUCCAUUCUAUCAAAUGAGACCAAGAAAUCGCAAAUACAACUAUAAAAAACAUACGAAGAAACACUUCAAAGUCGCUGUUUUAAUUGAAAAAUCAUGAUUUCAGUUUUUUUUCCUCUCAUUAUACACAGUGUGCUGCAGGAUCUGUUUUAUGUGGUGCACACAUACCACAUAGAUGUAUUCUCUCAUAUCUAGGCCCAAAUGUACCACUCACAGUUUAUCAGAGUGAGCUGAGCUCAUGACGUAGAUCUACGGUUUGGACCCUGAACGUAAAGCCGUAGAUCUACGGGACGGACACUGAAAGGGUUAAUUGUUAACUGGUAAUUGAUAUCUGAACUGGCUUAUGGAAAUUCGGAUUACUCUCAACUGCAACUUCCCCACCCCCUGAAUCUCUAAACAAAAGUUAUCUUGCUCACACUCCAAUGGCAUGUCCAUUAAAAACCAUUUAGUCUCCAUUACCUCCCAACAUGCUCACACAAGCCUGCUGGAUGCUCAAGCCUCCUGUAGUACACCCUCUCCAUUCCUAAGAUGACCUCACCUCUCCUAUCUUCCACCCCAGAUUUAUAAACCCUUUGUCAUUCUCCUCUCCAUCUUUUGUAUAUACACAAGCCACCUCAACAAUCCCUCCUCAGCCCUCUGAAUUAUACCCUUGCUGAUCUAUCACUUAUUCAGUAUAUACUGUGGUAAUUAAAAUGCUGAUAAACUGUUAAGGUUGGGGGAGUUUCACCAAUGAGGCUUUUGCAAUUUUCAUGCAUAUCUGAAAUAAAUGAUAACAUGGAAUAAGUUUCUAUGUUCUAUAUAAUACAGUAUACGUAUAUAGUUAUUGUUUUGCAGCUGAAUUUUUAGCAAUAUUAUACAUUAUGUAGAAGCGAUUCAAAGAAUUGGUAAAGAUGCUUACAAUCAUGAGCCUUUAAAUAAUGAUCAUUACUGUAGAGACCAUGGUCCAUCAGUAACACUUUCAUAACCUAAAAUACUAUGAAUAAUCUUGUAACCUGACUGGGCAAAUGAGACGUUACUUAUGGAAUACUGUAUGUUCACUCUUAUAAUGCUAAGAACCUUUAAUUGUACAUUCUUCUCUGAUAAAACAUGUUUUCAUAGGCAUUUUUAAGGUAAAUUUUAAUUGCUCUACAGUUCUCUACAGUUGUCUCAUUGUUUUCUGUGUAGGUAAAUGUAUAUUUCAUGUAAAAAAAAAUAUUUUUUUUUUAAUACUUUUGGGUGUCUGGAACAGAUUAAUUGGAUUUACAUUAUUUCUUAUGGGGAAAAUGAAUUCGGAAAUCGUCAGAUUCAGGUUUAGUCACUCUCUCAGGAACGGAUUAAUUACGAUAACCAGGGGUCCAAUGUAUGUAUGUAUGUAUGUAUAUUAUGUAUCUUCUUUCUUUCAACACACCGGCCGUAUUCCACCGAGGCAGGGUGGCCCAAAAGGAAAAACAAAAGUUUCUCCUUUCACAUUUAAUAAUAUAUACAGGAGAAGGGGUUACUAGCCCCUUGCUCCCGGCAUUUUAGUCGCCUCUUACAACACGCAUGGCUUACGGAGGAAGAAUUCUGUUCCACUUCCCCAUGGAGAUAAGAGGAAAUAGACAAGAACAAGAACUAGAAAGAAGAUAGAAGAAAACCCAGAGGGGUAUGUAUAUAUAUGCUUGUACAUGUACGUGUAGUGUGACCAAAAUGUAAGUAGAAGCAGCAAGACGUACCUGAAAUCUUGCAUGUUUAUGAGACAGAAAAAAGGACACCAGCAAUCCUACCAUCAUAUAAAACAAUUACAGGCUUUCGUUUUACACUCGCUUGGCAGGACGGUAGUACCUCCCUGGGCAGUUGCUGUCUACCAACCUACUACCUAUUAU